rnacentral:rRNA from 1 species
CCCUUAGAUGUUCUGGGCCGCACGCGCGCUACACUGAUGCAUUCAACAAGUUCUACCUUGGCCGAGAGGCCUGGGAAAUCUUUCAAAUAUGUAUCGUGAUAGGGAUAGAUUAUUGCAAUUAUUAAUCUUGAACGAGGAAUUCCUAGUAAAUGCAGAUCAUCAUUCUGCGUUGAUUACGUCCCUGCCCUUUGUACACACCGCCCGUCGCACCUACCGAUUGAAUGAUCCGGUGAAGCCUCGGGAUUGUGCCCAGAGAACUUUAUUGUGAUUUGGGUGUGAGAACUUGUCUAAACCUUAUCAUUUAGAGGAAGGUGAAGUCGUAACG